rnacentral:rRNA from 1 species
UCGGGAAUAUUGCGCAAUGGAGGAAACUCUGACGCAGUGACGCCGCGUAUAGGAAGAAGGUUUUCGGAUUGUAAACUAUUGUCGUUAGGGAAGAAAAAGACAGUACCUAAGGAGGAAGCUCCGGCUAACUACGUGCCAGCAGCCGCGGUAAUACGUAGGGAGCAAGCGUUAUCCGGAUUUAUUGGGUGUAAAGGGUGCGUAGACGGGCGAUCAAGUUAGUUGUGAAAUCCCUCGGCUCAACUGAGGAACUGCAACUAAAACUGGUUGUCUUGAGUGCAGGAGAGGAAAGUGGAAUUCCUAGUGUAGCGGUGAAAUGCGUAGAUAUUAGGAGGAACACCAGUGGCGAAGGCGACUUUCUGGACUGUAACUGACGUUGAGGCACGAAAGUGUGGGGAGCAAACAGGAUUAGAUACC